rnacentral:rRNA from 1 species
AGCAGCCGCGGUAAUUCCAGCUCCAAUAGCGUAUAUUAAAGUUGUUGCAGUUAAAAAGCUCGUAGUUGAAUUUCGGGGUCAGCAGGUUGGUCGUGCCACUGGUAUGCACUGGUUUCGCUGAUUCCUCCUUUCUGAAGAACUGUAAUGCCAUUAAUUUGGUGUUGCAGGGAAACAGGACUUGUUACUUUGAAAAAAUUAGAGUGUUUAAAGCGGGCUAACGCUUGAAUACAUUAACAUGGAAUAAUGAAAAGGACGUUUGAUCAACCUAUUUUGUUGGUUUCUAGAUUGACGUAAUGAUUAAUAGGGAUAGUUGGGGGCAUUAGUAUUCAAUUGUCAGAGGUGAAAUUCUUGGAUUUAUUGAAGACUAACUACUGCGAAAGCAUUUGCCAAGAAUGUUUUCAUUAAUCAAGAACGAAAGUUAGGGGAUCGAAGACGAUCAGAUACCGUCGU